GACGAACGCUGGCGGCGUGCCUAAUACAUGCAAGUCGAGCGCAGGAAACCGUCUGAACCCUUCGGGGGGACGACGGCGGAAUGAGCGGCGGACGGGUGAGUAACACGUAAGGAACCUGCCCAUAGGUCUGGGAUAACCACGAGAAAUCGGGGCUAAUACCGGAUGUGUCAUCGGACCGCAUGGCCCGCUGAUGAAAGGCGCUCCGGCGUCGCCCAUGGAUGGCUUUGCGGUGCAUUAGCUAGUUGGUGGGGUAACGGCCCACCAAGGCGACGAUGCAUAGCCGACCUGAGAGGGUGAUCGGCCACACUGGGACUGAGACACGGCCCAGACUCCUACGGGAGGCAGCAGUAGGGAAUCUUCCACAAUGGACGAAAGUCUGAUGGAGCAACGCCGCGUGAACGAUGAAGGUUUUCGGGUCGUAAAGUUCUGUUGUAAGGGAAGAACAAGUGCCGCAGGCAAUGGCGGCACCUUGACGGUACCUUGCGAGAAAGCCACGGCUAACUACGUGCCAGCCGCCGCCGUAAAAC
rnacentral:rRNA from 1 species